UACGUAGGGGGCAAGCGUUGUCCGGAUUUAUUGGGCGUAAAGAGCGUGUAGGCGGCCAGGUAGGUGGGUUGUGAAAACUGGAGGCUCAACCUUCAGACGUCGACCCAAACCCCCUGGCUAGAGUCCGGAAGAGGAGAAUGGUAGUACUCGUGUGAGCGGUGAAAUGCGCAGAUAUCAGGAAGAACACCCGUGGCGAAGGCGGUCUCUCGGACGG
rnacentral:rRNA from 1 species